UCAUGUCUAAUUUUUGUAAUCCUAUGAUAGGAAAAAUUGUUAAAAUGAAUCCUGAAUGUUUUGAACAGCAAAAAUAUCAGUUUGAAAAAUGGUUAAAUCUUAACAACAAGUCAAACAGCUCUGUUUUAUCAGAAUGUGAAUAUACUUCCAUUAUCAAAUAUUUGAAAGAUAAAAAUGAUGGAAAAACUGGAUAUAUUACUUCACGGAAUAUUCAACGAAGAAUCAAGUCAAACAAGUUUAAACUAAUUGAUUACCCACCCUUAGGUUUAAAAGAUAUUUUAUGUGCUCCAACUAAAUGUAAUACAGAGAAUAAUUUGCGAGAAUCAUCGCCAUUUGGAAACUACAGUCGUGUAGCGAGUACUAAAGAUGUUUUUUUUUGCUAUUAAUAUUGCACAUUGCCAGAAUGGUCUGCAUCUUGGGGCUUUAAAAACUUAUAAGAAGAUUAUUGAGGGUUAUGCAAACAUCGCAAGAAAAACUGUUGAAAUUUUUAUCAGUUUCUGCCCAACUUGCAAUUUAAAUAAAAGGCAGUUAAAAAAGCAUCAUUACAACCAAUAAUUUCUACUGGUUUUUUGCAACGUCUUCAAAUUGAUUUGAUUGCAAUGGAAUCUAAGCCAGAUAAGGAAUUCAGAUAUAUUGGUCAUGUUGUUGAUCAUUUCAGUAAGUUUCAUAUUUUGUUUCCUGGGAGAUUCCAUGUGAAAACAUCCAAUUUUUUUUGAAAAUGCAACCAUAAGUCUCAGAUUUUGCUGAUUUUUAAACCACUUAAAGAUUUUAGUAAAUUAUGAACAUCCUGAAAAUUUUAUCGUUUAAUUUAAAUCGGUUCCUAAGAUACAGCUAUUUUAAGUUU